CUAAUCUUAGCUCUUACGCUUUCCAGAUGAGCUCCUCAGAGACAGCAUUGCAGGGUCACCAGAAGACCACCAGCCUUAACAACUGUAUUCCCUCUCAGAGAGCCUGCUUUGGGGGCAGACCUAGGCAUGUUUGCAGUUAAAACCAGAAAUGAACAGAUUUACUUCAUCAUCUAUAGUAAUGGGGCCAGUUUUGUGCAAAGAAGUAGACAUGGAG
rnacentral:lncRNA from 1 species